GUUUGAUCCUGGCUCAGGAUGAACGCUAGCGACAGGCCUAACACAUGCAAGUCGAGGGGCAGCGGAGAGGUAGCAAUACCUUUGCCGGCGACCGGCGCACGGGUGAGUAACACGUAUGCAAUCCACCUGUAACAGGGGGAUAACCCGGAGAAAUCCGGACUAAUACCCCAUAAUAUGGGUUCUCCGCAUGGAGGGUCCAUUAAAGAGAGCAAUUUUGGUUACAGACGAGCAUGCGCUCCAUUAGCCAGUUGGCGGGGUAACGGCCCACCAAAGCGACGAUGGAUAGGGGUUCUGAGAGGAAGGUCCCCCACAUUGGAACUGAGACACGGUCCAAACUCCUACGGGAGGCAGCAGUGAGGAAUAUUGGUCAAUGGGCGAGAGCCUGAACCAGCCAAGUAGCGUGAAGGAUGACUGCCCUAUGGGUUGUAAACUUCUUUUAUAAAGGAAUAAAGUCGGGUAUGCAUACCCGUUUGCAUGUACUUUAUGAAUAAGGAUCGGCUAACUCCGUGCCAGCAGCCGCGGUAAUACGGAGGAUCCGAGCGUUAUCCGGAUUUAUUGGGUUUAAAGGGAGCGUAGAUGGAUGUUUAAGUCAGUUGUGAAAGUUUGCGGCUCAACCGUAAAAUUGCAGUUGAUACUGGAUAUCUUGAGUGCAGUUGAGGCAGGCGGAAUUCGUGGUGUAGCGGUGAAAUGCUUAGAUAUCACGAAGAACUCCGAUUGCGAAGGCAGCCUGCUAAGCUGCAACUGACAUUGAGGCUCGAAAGUGUGGGUAUCAAACAGGAUUAGAUACCCUGGUAGUCCACACGGUAAACGAUGAAUACUCGCUGUUUGCGAUAUACGGCAAGCGGCCAAGCGAAAGCGUUAAGUAUUCCACCUGGGGAGUACGCCGGCAACGGUGAAACUCAAAGGAAU
rnacentral:rRNA from 1 species